CCUUGCAUUGUAUCGGCAUCCCAACCGGUAACUGCAGGGCACGACCUACGGGUUCGUGCUCCCUUCCCUCCCGCUCUGCUUUACUCCUGCGGGCUGCGGCCAGUCCACUCCUAUCCAUGCCGCUUAAACCCUCCCAUGAUCCCGUCCCUCCCCGAGCCAGGAAGCCUUCCCAGUUCGCACCACCCUUCCUCCUCCUGCCAUGGGCCUAUUCGAUGCGGCCGCGGCGACCUUCCCAUCUUGUCGUGUCGAGCCGGGCACCCGGCCACCCACCGCUGUUUCACCAUAUCCUGCGCCACUCGCCGCCGCAACCUCCGGUACGUAGAUGACCCACCUUGAUCUCCUGAACGCCGUUUGGCGGGGGCCUGCAAUGCGUUCGACGAAUUGCUGAGGAGCACAUUUGAGACAGCUCGCGGCAGUUGCUUGCAGUUGCACCGAUCACUCGCAUCAUUGGAUGCUCCUAGUAUUGGUCCUGACAUGCUGUUGCUGUGUUUACAAUUAGUCUCAAGCUGAGCAACCGUUAGUACUCUGUCAACUGCUGACUGCAUUCGUGGCCGUGCUUGCUUCGUACAGUUGUUACAGUACUUGUGUGGCUGGCUUGCUGCAAUUUUCUGUCUUAUGGAAACAACACUUAAUUGGAGUACUUUGGAGCUGUAGACAAGGUCACUCAUCAUCCUUGAUUGAUGCAGCUGUAGAAGUAGAACACCCAUGUUGGCACUUGAUCCUGCAUGAUGAAGGCCGUGUAUGCUGCGGCCUAUGUCCUGCUCAAAUCUCAAAAGAAGAUUGUCAUGUUGUUUUCCACUCAUCUUAGCAUCCGAGGAUGGAGAUUUCAAAUCAAACUUUGGACUUGCAGAUUUAGGUGGCAUUAUAAAAAGCAUGGAAAACAGUAAUCUGCUCCUAAAUCAAGCUCGUCUACAGGAAAUUGAAGAAGUUAACAUAAUUCUUGAUCAAAAGGAAGCUUUGCAAAAGGCAGUUAACAUUCUAGAAAUGAAGUUGUCAAAGACAUUUGCACCUGAAGGAAACAUAAAUACUGAAAGCCCCAAUGCCAAUGUGGAGAAAUUUAGAAAAAAAGUGUCAUUGGAAGUGCAUUAUUUGGAGGGAGUCCUUUGCAUCUUAGUGAGUCUGCUUGUUAUGGAGCUCAAAGUUCUAAAAGAAGCUACUGAAGGUGGAUGCACAGUUUCUUAAAACAAAGCUUGCUGAGCUCGCCGAGACAGAGGAGCGUUUAUUCAAAUUGGAGAAAGUAUGAUCACUGUUAGAUGCUACCAUUAGAAAGCUGGAGUCUAAAUUUAUGGUUGCUCAAACUGUUAUCUGGAAAUUAACUUUUUAGCAAUAUGAUUCUUGGAUUUUUUUUAAACGAUCAUAUGA